AUGAACGUUGGCGGCGUGGAUUAGGCAUGCAAGUCGAACGGGCCGCAAGGCCAGUGGCGGAAGGGUGAGUAAUGCGACGGUAACCAACCCCGGAAAUGGGUAUAGCCGCGGGAAACUGCGGGUAAUCCCCAGCGACGUGUCGGGUCGGCAUCGACCUGACACCAAAGCUCCGGCGUUCCGGGACGGGCCGUUGUGGUAUUAGCUAGUUGGCGGGGUAACGGCCCACCAAGGCUGCGAUGCCUACCGGGCGUGCGAGCGUGGCCCGGCACACUGGGACUGAGACACUGCCCAGACUCCUACGGGAGGCUGCAGUCGAGAAUCUUCGGCAAUGGGCGCAAGCCUGACCGAGCGACGCCGCGUGGAGGACGAAGGCCUUCGGGUUGUAAACUCCUGUCGAGGGGGAGGAAGGCGUAAGCUUGACCGAUCCCUGGAGGAAGCACGGGCUAAGUUCGU
rnacentral:rRNA from 1 species